rnacentral:rRNA from 1 species
UACGAAGGGUGCAAGCGUUACUCGGAAUUACUGGGCGUAAAGCGUGCGUAGGUGGUUUGUUAAGUCUGUUGUGAAAGCCCCGGGCUCAACCUGGGAAUGGCAAUGGAUACUGGCAGGCUAGAGUGCGGUAGAGGGUAGUGGAAUUCCCGGUGUAGCGGUUAAAUGCGUAGAGAUCGGGAGGAACACCAGUGGCGAAGGCGGCUACCUGGACCAGCACUGACACUGAGGCACGAAAGCGUGGGGAGCAAACAGG